GAUGAAGAACGCAGCGAAAUGCGAUAAGUAAUGUGAAUUGCAGAAUUCAGUGAAUCAUCGAAUCUUUGAACGCACAUUGCGCCCGCCAGUAUUCUGGCGGGCAUGCCUGUCCGAGCGUCAUUUCAACCCUCGAACCCCUCCGGGGGGUCGGCGUUGGGGAUCGGCCCCUCACCGGGCCGCCCCCGAAAUCCAGUGGCGGUCUCGCCGCAGCCUCUCCUGCGCAGUAGUUUGCACACUCGCACCGGGAGCGCGGCGCGGCCACAGCCGUAAAACACCCCAAACUCUGAAAUGUUGACCUCGGAUCAGGUAGGAAUACCCGCUGAACUUAAGCAUAUCAAUAAGCGAGGA
rnacentral:misc_RNA from 1 species